AUUUUUUUCUGUGUGCCUCCCCAUAUUUCCUAGGUUCCAAUAAUCAAAUAUUACUAUAGUCAGAAAAUACUUUAGACAUUUAUAGCUGUUAAAGACAAUUUACAGAUGAAGAACAUUACAGGUUAAGAUGUACAUAAUUUCUUAGGACAAAAAAAAAUUUCCUACAUAGAACAAGAUACAUUUUAAAGGUUUACCCAAAAGGAUAAAUCUGGAAAUGCUGUAAUAUAUUUUAGGGUAUGUAUAAAUGUGCAUAUAAAAAGAAGUUCAAUACUCAACAUAAAAUGCUCUACACAAAUGCACACUAUUAAUGUUACUGUUGACAGCAGAGGUGACUUUCACAGCACUCUCCUCAGUAGUUAACCGAUCUGUGUGUGCUGUCCUUCAUAUUCUAAGACCCAGUUUGUAACUUUUCUUCAGGAAGACACAUAAAUUGGUAAUAAAUUACCUAGAAAGCCUUAGUCAGGCCUUCUUACAACAUUCAAUUCAUGUAGCAACCAGGGAGCCCUGUGUUUCCAGAUUUCGGGACCUCCUGGGCAAAGGGGAUCCAAAGACGAGGGAGCAAAGCAGCUGCCUCAAGCAGCUUUCAAAGUAGGCGCUUAGUAACUACGACCAGCAUGAAAGGAAAGACCGGUUUUCCUCAGAAGCACUGGCACAGCUAAUAGUGCUCUCUUCUUGAGUGGCUCUCUGCAUCUCUCGUUUAUAUCCUUGUUCAGAGCUAGACCGGAAGCCCAGCUCCCUCCUUACCCAAGCCCUAACGUGGGUCAGGCCUCUAGCCCAGUGCCCGGGAAGGAUGAACUGCCUGCCCAACUAGAACUUGUCCCUGGGCCUCACAGACCCUUGAAAUGUCAGAUUAAAAUGUUUCCCAUCUGGGGCAGGCAAGAUGUUCCCAUGUGUCCUUGAGCAGAGAAGCAGGAGUCCUUCAUUGUUAGGAGAGCAAAGGGGGAAGCAGGGAGAUGCUGGGCCUUGGCAGCCUCCUCUCAUGGCUUAUGCACUAACUCCCGCUUUCAGCCUGACCCUCCCCUGUGCCCCUGCUACGCCAGGUAACAAAACCCCAGAAAGUCUCAGACCCCCAGUGCAAAGUACCUUACCAUUCCACAGGUGCCAUUUGUAGAAAAUGAAUUCCAUCCACAGUCAUAUUUGCACAGCAUGAAAGAGGAAUAGGAAAAAUAACAGAGCUACUUCUCAAAAAGCAAGUCAAAUCAGAGGUCUCUAGAGAGUAUUUACAGUAAAUAGAAAGCUGGCUACAGGACAGGGCUGAUCUGUUGUGGCAAUUCACAUCUUCCUGCUGCCAUGUGCUUUUUAAAAACUGGCAUGCCACCCGCACAAUGUGGUAAUCACUAUGGGGAUUCAGAAGGAAAAAGCAAGAGGAACAGCAAGGGAAAGACCGCCUCCACAGGCUCUCAUACCUCAGACUUCGUUUGCCCAAGUGCAGACUUUGUCUCUCACUCUGGAAGGCCUGGGAACCCAGCUGGAGGCCACAUUCAGAGCAGGCCCCUCUCUCGGGGGGCAAAUUCACCAAAUCAUAACUAGUACCAUCUGCAUGUGAUCAUGCACACACACACAAUGCUAAUGAAUUGAUUUACAGGGAAAACAUUGUUCAGGAGCCCGGGAGCCCUUAGCAUGAAGUCAAGGGCAUUUUUUUCCUGUAGGCACAUCACAUAGAAACCAAAUAACAAAGCUAGAGAAGAAAGCUGCCAUUUCUUCUUAUUCCUUUAUUCUGAUGACAAAAUUCUGCUUUUGAGAACCACCUGGUUCCCAUUAAGAGAACCUGUGCUGUAGAUGGUUGGAUGGACACUUGUCCCAGGACUGGCCAGUUGCAGGGCUGAAAGUGGCCCAGUAAUGGUGGAUUGCUAACCAAUGAGGACAUAAGCAGGAAGAUGCUGAUAACCAUCGGAAGGAGAGCAAUGACUGAAAGUGAAGCCAAACAGGUGAGCAGAACGGAGAAAGAGAGAGAGCCACUGCCUGACAUCAUUUAACACCUGAGUCAAGCCAUGCCUGAUCCCGGGAUACCCCUUGAACUUUUCAUUUACCAGAGACAAUGAUUUCCCUUCUUUCCUUAAGCCACUUUGCGACAUAUCUCUUGCACAGAAAAAGAAAUCCUGGAAUGGAAAUAAGGAGAGUUCAGAAAAUGACUUGAAUGUUUAAUCAGCACUACGGCAAAGCAGCUUAAAGCAUCUGCAUCUACACCUGGGAAGGCCAACAUUCACCCAUGGAUGUCUUUCUGCCCUGCGACUCCUGAGCAGCCCCACUUGCACUGACACGCCCCUAACCCACGCUUAUCCACUCGAUUGCCCGGCAAGCCCACGGGCCUUCUGUCUCUGCUCCAUUGAACUCCCAGAGGGCAAUGCUAUCUCCACCCCUCAGUCCCAAGUUCUGAAGGAGAAGCAUCAUGGGAUCCCAAGUACUGACAGUAAUCAAAAGACAUCAGAUAGAUUAUUCAAUUCUAAGGCACCUAAGAGAACUCAUAAUUCCUCCAAAUUAAAUGCUAUGGACUCCUUCCAGUGAAUUCCAACAUCAAAAAAAAAAAUCAUUUACUGUAGCAAAAUGAAAUACUCAACAGUUUCCAACUAUCAGGAUAUAUCACUGAUAUUUUCAAUUAAGGUGAACACAUACUUCUUUUAUACUAAUUAAGGUGGGUUCUUUAAAGCCACAAUAUUUUGAUUACACGGAGUGUUUAUGCUCACUGCUCUAAGAAACUCACAGGACCAGACAAAGCGUGCAUCUUCAUGAGUUUAGGUCCUACGGUAGCUGCUGUUUAUGCAAAUAAAGGCUGCAAUGCAGUACUUUUCUUCCUCCUCGUAGGCACAGAUCCUGUGUCCUAAUUAACCCGUGUCAUGGCGAGAAACAAAUGGCUGUUUUCUCCUCAAGCUGUCACCCUUCCUUGUUUACAUGCCUCCCCCACCACACGCAGUAUUUGGAUAACCUGAUGACUAGUCUGGCACUGUGUCUGGCAGACACCCUGUAAACACUAGUUUCGUGGAUUUAAUUAACUAUGCUUGUCAGAAUGCUACCAAGUAUCUGAUUUGUGACCUUUAUGUCGCUGUUCAGUUUCAAGCAUCAAGGAAAGUACUGGAGAGAGGUGUCUUAGAGACUUGGUGUCUGCCCUCCCUUGAAGUACAAAGAUUCCAGAAACAGUUUCUUGUGCGUGAGUUGCCCAACCUUUGCAAAUUUAUCCUGCAACCCUGGCUACAAUGAUGUGGCCCAGAGGCUGGUUGGUGCCUGACCGAAAGGUGUCAGCUCUAGGCUGGAUGUGAGAAAGACCACUGGGCUUCAAGGUGGCCAGACCUAAGAGACCACAGGAUGGAUAAAGUGUACUGAACAGUGAUGAAGCAACUAAGCGAGAUCCUUUCUCAGGGUAUUUUAAUGCAGUUUGUAUACUGACAGCCAUCACAUAGUAGAAGGACAGAAAAAGGAUUUUUAAAAAGUAAAAACUGAAAAUUUAAAGCAGAAGCCAAGAGUAACCAAAGCUGUGAGGACUCCAAGGGAAAGGAAGCAGAUAGGAGAAAGAGCACAGAAAGAGAAGACACAGCCAGCACUGAGAUGUAAUCAGGAGAGACUACAGCUGCUGCUAUGUGGUCAGAAGGUCCCUUUACAAUACAUGAAGAAGAGCUCAUUACACAAGAGGCCACAGUAGGAGACAGCUGCUGUUCAGUUUUUCAGCUAUCUUAACCUCUAAUAAAGAAUUAAGGUUGAGAGUUAUCAAAAUGGACAUUAGGAACAGGCUCAUACUGUUGAAAUUUGAGAAGUCCAAGACUUGUGAAUUGGCUAGGAAUACUUCAGGGUCACUCCACCACUCCAUGAAGGGGUAUAACCUAGUAUGUUCAUACACGGCUGGACUCAGGAACAAAGACUCAGGCUGGAUUCUAUACUCAGGCAGUUUCUUUGGACUAUUCUGGUCCAAAGCCAAUUCUGAGUUAAACUGAAUCCUGCCUCUACGAUGUCAUAUUUGCCUCAGGUGAACAUCUUAAGCAAAAAAAAAAAAUAAUCUAAAGGG